UACAGAGGGUGCAAACGUUGCUCGGAAUUACUGGGCGUAAAGGGCGCGUAGGCGGCUCGCUAAGUCGGGUGUGAAAACUCUGGGCUCAACCCAGAGCCUGCAUUCGAAACUGACGGGCUAGAGUUCUGGAGGGGAAAGCGGAAUUCCUGGUGUAGCAGUGAAAUGCGUAGAUAUCAGGAGGAACACCGGUGGCGAAGGCGGCUUUCUGGACAGAAACUGACGCUGAUGCGCGAAAGCUAGGGGAGCAAACAGG
rnacentral:rRNA from 1 species